CCUUUCCGGCCGAAGCGCAGAUCGCGCGCGAACUGAUGAAGUUCGCCGCCAACGGCACGCUGUAUCGCGGCUCCAAGCCGGUGAUGUGGAGCGUGGUCGAGAAGACCGCGCUCGCCGAAGCUGAAAUCGAAUACGAGGACUACACCUCGGAUGCGGUGUGNGAGGAUUAUACCUCGGACGCGGUGUGGGUGAAGUUUCCGGUCAACGCCGCGCACGGCCGCCU
rnacentral:misc_RNA from 1 species